GUUUUGAACGUUGGACGUGGUGGCUAGUAGGCUCCGCCCACUUUUACUGAGGCAUCUGAUUGAAAUUUAUGGGAUUCUGUCCUCUUGGACCUUCAGGAGGGCGGGGUCACCCAGUCCAGUUCUUGUAUCCAGUACAUGUUGAAGAAACGUGUCCCAUCCCAGGACCGCCAGGAUGAGUCCUCCUCGUGCUACCAGACUUUGACUGGAUCCUGUGAAGUUUUCUCCAUGUGUGGAUGAUGGAUCUGACUGAGUUUUUCUGGAGUCUUAAGUUUCGU